AUCCAUGAGCCCAGAAUGUCCCCCUUUCCCUCUCACUACUGCAGUUCUUCCCUUGUAUCCUACGCAUAACAUUAUCUUAAAGGCUGAUGAAGGAGAUCUUGCCAGAGGAAUGGAUAAUUCUUGCAGUCACUGGAGUUGACAAUGACCAUGUCCCUACUGCACAUCAGCAUCCCAUGGGCUACUCAUUCAAGCAUCACCACACACCUCCUAUUCCUCAGGCACUGACUCUGCAAGAGAUCCCAUACUGGUCCCACCACUCUCACUGCUAUGGAAUGAAGAAGCAUCAUCCACCACUUAAAGCGCUGUUGCUUCCUUAGCAAAUCUGGCCAAUGCAUUUUACCUCUCAGGGCAUUCCUCAGUAAUAUAUAGAUAAGUCCCAAUGGGACAAUUGUGCAGAGCCAGCUCAUCCUGCACCCAACCCACUGAGCACCCAGACAAGCAGAUGCUCCUCCUGCACAGCCUGAAUUUCCCGUCUCCCUCUGCCUCUCAGCUGGAUCAUCACAGAACAGAGCUCUCCUCUUGUUUUGCU
ensembl:lncRNA